UACGUAGAAGACUAGUGUUAUUCAUAUUUAGUAGGUUUAAAGGGUACCUUAAGACGGUAUAAUUAGUCUUAAAUUAGGAUACGGUUUAAUACUAGAGUUAUAUAUGAGGAGGUGAGUAUUUAUGCAGUAGAGUUGUAAAUUCGUUGAAUAGUAUAAACGUACUUGGUAACGGCGAAAAGCAACCUUUUUAAUCUAAUAAACUGAACCUGUUUGAGGGAACGAAAGGCUCGGGUAACGAAGCAGGA
rnacentral:rRNA from 1 species